rnacentral:rRNA from 1 species
UACGUAGGGCGCAAGCGUUGUCCGGAAUUAUUGGGCGUAAAGAGCUCGUAGGCGGUUUGUCGCGUCUGCUGUGAAAACCUAAGGCUCAACCUUGGGCUUGCAGUGGGUACGGGCAGACUAGAGUGCGGUAGGGGUGACUGGAAUUCCUGGUGUAGCGGUGGAAUGCGCAGAUAUCAGGGAGGAACACCGAGUGGCGAAAGGC